rnacentral:lncRNA from 1 species
UUUGUGAAAGCUCACUUUCGUUCGGACCUAGAUAAAAAAAAUUUAACAGAAAAAAUAAAUAAAACUAAAGUAAUUAAAGUCCAGAGUCUAUUUACAACAAAUUACAGGCUCAACAUUACAAGCCCAAAUGACCAAAAAUUAAAAAGAACCCUAACGGCCCAAAUGACCCAAACACCUAGACUAUUUUAGACUAAACAGAAACCCUACCCUAGCUUGCGCCGCACCCUAGCUUGAGUCGCCUCUGCCACCAUCAACUGCUCCUCAACCACCACCUGCAAAUAACAGUAGUCAAGUAGGGAUAAAAAAAAAGAAAAAGAAGAGAAAGAUUGUAAUUUGAAAACGACUAUAAAAGUCGAAUCUUUGUAAGCUUUUAAGG